rnacentral:rRNA from 1 species
GAUGAACGCUAGCUACAGGCUUAACACAUGCAAGUCGAGGGGCAUCAUGGAGGAAGCUUGCUUUCUCUGAUGGCGACCGGCGCACGGGUGCGUAACGCGUAUGCAACCUACCCUUUACAGGGGGAUAACUCGGGGAAACCCGGACUAAUACCCCAUAUGGUCACAGGAUCGCAUGGUUUUGUGACGAAAGCUUCGGUGGUAUGGGAUGGGCAUGCGUGACAUUAGGUAGUUGGCGGGGCAACGGCCCACCAAGCCGACGAUGUCUAGGGGAGCUGAGAGGCUUAUCCCCCACACUGGUACUGAGACACGGACCAGACUCC